UGACAAAAAAAUCCUAAAGAAAAUAGCCAUGAAAUCUUCCCCCUUAUUUUUCUCUCAAUCCCGUCCUCACCUUCUCCCCUCCCAUAUUCUCCCACUACUGCUUUCUCCCAUACCCGGAAAACUGCCGCCGGCGAUUAUUUCCGGCCACUAAGCGCUGUUGAAUUAUUAAAAGACACCAUUUUGUGGUCGCGUUAAAGAUGUGGCGCUACUUACCAAGAGCUUUACAGAGCUAUAGGCGAGCCAGUAUAUGUCAAAAUGUGUUUAAUCGUGGGACUGGAUAUUAUUCCAUGGCCUGUAAUGGCGUCUCUCGAAGUUUGAAUGACAGUUUUACCCGCGAUACAUAUUCAACAUCUUGCACUAAGAUGGUUGAAGAUGCCACGAAAGGUGAUCCAGUUUCUGACAUGUUGGUUGAUUCAUUUGGGAGGUUGCAUACUUAUUUGAGGAUCUCCGUGUCUGAACGUUGCAAUCUAAGAUGUCAGUACUGCAUGCCAGAUGAUGGAGUGGAGCUCACUCCCAGCCCCGAACUUCUCUCCAAAGAUGAGAUAGUGCGACUGGCAAAUCUUUUUGUCAAUUGUGGAGUGAAUAAAAUACGUUUAACUGGAGGAGAGCCUACAAUUAGGAAAGAUAUUGAAGAUAUUUGCUUGCAACUAUCCGAAAUGAAGGGAUUGAAAACAUUGUCCAUAACAACCAAUGGACUUACACUUGCAAGAAAAUUGCCGAAGCUCAAAGAAUGUGGCCUUACUGCAGUGAAUAUUAGCUUAGAUACAUUAGUACCUGCAAAGUUUGAAUUCAUGACCCGAAGGAGAGGGCAUGAAAAGGUUAUUGAGUCGAUCGAUGCUGCUGUAGACCUUGGUUAUGAUCCUGUCAAAGUGAACUGUGUUGUCAUGCGUGGUUUUAAUGAUGAUGAGAUAUGUGAUUUUGUUGAAUUAACGCGUGAGAAGCCUAUCAAUGUUAGAUUCAUUGAGUUCAUGCCAUUUGAUGGAAAUGUUUGGAAUGUCAAGAAACUUGUGUCUUACUCUGAGAUAAUGGCGAGGGUGGUCGAGAAAUUUUCUGACUUGAAGAGACUAAAUGAUGACCCAACAGACACGGCAAAGAAUUUUCGGGUUGAGGGACAUCGCGGAACUGUUUCCUUCAUCACAUCAAUGACUGAGCAUUUUUGUGCUGGAUGCAACCGAUUGCGGCUUUUAGCUGAUGGAAAUCUUAAAGUUUGCCUCUUUGGGGCUGCAGAGGAAAGCCUUAGAGACCCCAUGCGCAGUGGUGCAGAUGACAGUGAGCUCAUGGAAAUAAUUGGAAGAGCGGUGAAAAGGAAGAAAGCUGCUCAUGCAGGAAUGUUUGACCUAGCAAAUACUGCAAAUAGACCGAUGAUACGCAUUGGUGGCUAAGGCUCAGCGGUGUAUCUUCUUUCAGACCUUCAGGCGAUGUCCUGAGGUCCUGCCUAUAUACUUUUCAGAUACAAAGUGAACAAUGGCCAUUCUUCCUCAAGCAUGGUCACAAGUGGAUUUGCUCACCCUACACUUAGGUUUUGAAGUGAAGCACGGUCAUGGCACCAUGUUGGAGACCGGAAAAUCAAGCAUUCUGUCAACACGUCUGAAUCACACGUAAACAGAUUCUGUAUAUCACACAUCUGUCGCAACUGGCGAGAGAUUGCAGCUGUUGAAAUCUUACUCUGUAAUACCUUGUGUACAUUACCAUACCAUAAACAGACUCGUGAUCUAUGCACAAGAAUAACACGAGUUUUCACUUGUAAUUACAACAAACAAAUUGCUCAAUAAUCAAAUUACAAUAAUGUUGUAUUCUCUGCCUUUUCA